rnacentral:tRNA from 4 species
GCCGAGGUGGCGGAAUUGGCAGACGCGCUGGGUUCAGGACCCAGUGGAGUAGAAUCCGUGCGGGUUCGAAUCCCGCCCUCGGCA